GCCUUAGUAGCUCAGUGGUCAGAGCACUUGACAUGAUUCAAGUAAGCCGAGGUUCGAUUCCCGGCUGGGUA
rnacentral:tRNA from 1 species